rnacentral:rRNA from 1 species
AACAGGAUUAGAUACCCUGGUAGUCCACGCCGUAAACGAUGUCGACUUGGAGGUUGUGCCCUUGAGGCGUGGCUUCCGGAGCUAACGCGUUAAGUCGACCGCCUGGGGAGUACGGCCGCAAGGUUAAAACUCAAAUGAAUUGACGGGGGCCCGCACAAGCGGUGGAGCAUGUGGUUUAAUUCGAUGCAACGCGAAGAACCUUACCUACUCUUGACAUCCAGAGAACUUAGCAGAGAUGCUUUGGUGCCUUCGGGAACUCUGAGACAGGUGCUGCAUGGCUGUCGUCAGCUCGUGUUGUGAAAUGUUGGGUUAAGUCCCGCAACGAGCGCAACCCUUAUCCUUUGUUGCCAGCGGUCCGGCCGGGAACUCAAAGGAGACUGCCAGUGAUAAACUGGAGGAAGGUGGGGAUGACGUCAAGUCAUCAUGGCCCUUACGAGUAGGGCUACACACGUGCUACAAUGGCGCAUACAAAGAGAAGCGACCUCGCGAGAGCAAGCGGACCUCAUAAAGUGCGUCGUAGUCCGGAUUGGAGUCUGCAACUCGACUCCAUGAAGUCGGAAUCGCUAGUAAUCGUAGAUCAGAAUGCUACGGUGAAUACGUUCCCGGGCCUUGUACACACCGCCCGUCACACCAUGGGAGUGGGUUGCAAAAGAAGUAGGUAGCUUAACCUUCGGGAGGGCGCUUACCACUUUGUGAUUCAUGACUGGGGUGAAGUCGUAACAAGGUAACC